CACUGCAUUUCUGCUGAAGGUGACCCCAUGUCUCCCCAGACAGGAGCGUUACUCUUUGGAGGUCACGCUCUAAUACCUGCCUGGCUCCUGUAAAACAUCACACUCUGAACUGCCCAAUGGAUGUUUUGACCAAGGAGUUCUACUCAUAACACGCCAAACAAGCUUUGGAAAUGUGCACAGACUGACUGCCUUGAUGAGGAGAAGCUGAGAUUGCGUCAAAUUCUUUGUGUUUUAAAGGUCAACACAUCCACUUCUCCAACAAGCUUUCUUACGGUUGUAAUUACAGCCCUUUUUCCCAAUGCAAUCAAACAAAUAUGUCUUGAAAAAGCAUGAAGUGGUAGAAGAUAUCCCAUAGACUUAGCACUGCAAAACUGAACUUCCUCCAUUCAGAUGAAGAAAUCAACUUUUGUCUCUAGGAAUCAAAUGAUCUUGCUGUUUCUCUGCUCUCCAGUUAUCUACGACCUACUGAGCCAAGAUCUCACAGAAGGUGUUCCCACAGAUUUUAAAACAGAGUUGAUGCUUGAGGGAGUUUUAUGUUUGAAGAAGAAAAGAACAGCGAUCGCCAUCAGACAACUCAGAAAAGCAACUCAGAGAACCAGAAGUGGAAAGCUGCUACAGCAGCUUCUGCUGUGGUAAGGUGAGAAUUGUCUGUGAUAUACAGCUACAGUGUAUGGUCCAUGGAGCCCUUCAAAGAUUUAUCAGUCUUUCUCAAGCUGAUCUCUAGCUGAUCAGCCAACGUACUGCAUGAGAAUGGUAUAAGCAGUUCAGAUCUAGAGUGGAAGUCCAUAGCUUCAGUCCCCAUUUGAUAACCAGCUCACAGAAAGCCUCACCCAGGUGGGACUGCCAUCAGCAUCUCCGCGCUCACUAUUCCUCCUCUGUACACUGCUCAGAACAGCAGUUUCAACAAACCAGCAUUUCCUUCCAAGAACCUGCAGCUGACAAUGCAGCACAGAAUUCCCUUUGUGCAUUAAAGCACUCACUCAGGAGAUUGGCUGGAAAGCUUGAGAACGCUGUACCAUUUCAAAGCUUUGUGUCCAGGCCCUUUUUCUUUUUACCAAAUUCUCUCUGGUGAACCUGUUGCAGUCCUUAGUUAGAGGUCUGAAUCUCCGUGUAACUAUAAAAGAUGGGUGCCAAGAAAAUGAACUGAUCUCAAACUCGGUGAUACUUUGUCCCUUUUAAGCUAAGAUUCUGACCAGCAAAUCACCCUGCUCUUUUAUCAGAGAUCAUCUGCUGUUCUGAAGGUAAUAAAGGACUGUGACACAUUUGCA
rnacentral:lncRNA from 1 species